GUCGGGGAGAGCGGCGUCGUGUCGUUGCGCACCAUGGGCGGAGGGGAGGAGUCUGGGUGUGUGAAUCACGUGGGACUUUCAAACGCGGAGAAGCCCAGCAACUGCAGUGAUUUCACAGACGUGCUCACCCCAGCCAGCAGUGUCUUGAGAAGCUACAGACUCCAUGGCCAAGGAAUGAACCAUCCUAGGACACUGGGAGCAAGCUGCUGAGACACCUAUAUUUGGCCUUCCUUCUGUACCCACUCAGUGACACAGUAAAUAUUUUGGGUGAUUGACUGA